UUCGACUCGAACAGAGACCAUUCUCACCCUGGACACCACCUGCUCUGUGAGGCGCUUCAGGUGCAUCAGAAGCCGGACAAAGAGGCUCAAAGUCUCCUGAUGACAAUGGAUGAGUAAAACACUGGCGUCUCCUCUUCGACCUGCAGUAAGAAGCAGCAGACCACUGAACAAACAAAGAACAGGAAACUCAACAAGAUGAAGAGCUUUAUAUCUUACCUGCCUGCAGUCUUGGCCGUAAGUACCAAAUUACCAAAAGUGCUAUUAAAAUAAGACACACAAGGGCUACUGAUGUCCCGUAAAUAACUGGAAACUGAUAUUCAGGCUCUGUAGGUACACCUGCAAAACCAAACACACAAGAAUUAAUAUUCUUUUAAUUAAGGCCACAAACUCCUCUAAGAGAGAUACAGCAAAAUGCUCACCU